UAAGAUGUAUUUUAGUAUUUU
rnacentral:piRNA from 1 species